UACGAAGAGGGCGAGCGUUGUUCGGAUUUACUGGGCGUAAAGGGCGCGCAGGCGGCUAUCCAAGUCAGGCGUGAAAGCCCCGGGCUUAACCUGGGAGGUGCGUCUGGGACUGGGUGGCUAGAGUUCGGGAGAGGAGAGUGGAAUUCCCAGUGUAGAGGUGAAAUUCGUAGAUAUUGGGAAGAACACCGGUGGCGAAGGCGGCUCUCUGGACCGAGACUGACGCUGAGGCGCGAAAGCGUGGGGAGCAAACAGG
rnacentral:rRNA from 1 species